rnacentral:rRNA from 1 species
UACCCCGAGGAAAAGAAAUCAACCGAGAUUCCCCCAGUAGCGGCGAGCGAACGGGGAGCAGCCCAGAGCCUGAAUCAGUGUGUGUGUUAGUGGAAGCGUCUGGAAAGGCGCGCGAUACAGGGUGACAGCCCCGUACACAAAAAUGCACAUGCUGUGAGCUCGAUGAGUAGGGCGGGACACGUGGUAUCCUGUCUGAAUAUGGGGGGACCAUCCUCCAAGGCUAAAUACUCCUGACUGACCGAUAGUGAACCAGUACCGUGAGGGAAAGGCGAAAAGAACCCCGGCGAGGGGAGUGAAAAAGAACCUGAAACCGUGUACGUACAAGCAGUGGGAGCACGCUUAGGCGUGUGACUGCGUACCUUUUGUAUAAUGGGUCAGCGACUUAUAUUCUGUAGCAAGGUUAACCGAAUAGGGGAGCCGAAGGGAAACCGAGUCUUAACUGGGCGUUAAGUUGCAGGGUAUAGACCCGAAACCCGGUGAUCUAGCCAUGGGCAGGUUGAAGGUUGGGUAACACUAACUGGAGGACCGAACCGACUAAUGUUGAAAAAUUAGCGGAUGACUUGUGGCUGGGGGUGAAAGGCCAAUCAAACCGGGAGAUAGCUGGUUCUCCCCGAAAGCUAUUUAGGUAGCGCCUCGUGAAUUCAUCUCCGGGGGUAGAGCACUGUUUCGGCAAGGGGGUCAUCCCGACUUACCAACCCGAUGCAAACUGCGAAUACCGGAGAAUGUUAUCACGGGAGACACACGGCGGGUGCUAACGUCCGUCGUGAAGAGGGAAACAACCCAGACCGCCAGCUAAGGUCCCAAAGUCAUGGUUAAGUGGGAAACGAUGUGGGAAGGCCCAGACAGCCAGGAUGUUGGCUUAGAAGCAGCCAUCAUUUAAAGAAAGCGUAAUAGCUCACUGGUCGAGUCGGCCUGCGCGGAAGAUGUAACGGGGCUAAACCAUGCACCGAAGCUGCGGCAGCGACGCUUAUGCGUUGUUGGGUAGGGGAGCGUUCUGUAAGCCUGUGAAGGUGUGCUGUGAGGCAUGCUGGAGGUAUCAGAAGUGCGAAUGCUGACAUAAGUAACGAUAAAGCGGGUGAAAAGCCCGCUCGCCGGAAGACCAAGGGUUCCUGUCCAACGUUAAUCGGGGCAGGGUGAGUCGACCCCUAAGGCGAGGCCGAAAGGCGUAGUCGAUGGGAAACAGGUUAAUAUUCCUGUACUUGGUGUUACUGCGAAGGGGGGACGGAGAAGGCUAUGUUGGCCGGGCGACGGUUGUCCCGGUUUAAGCGUGUAGGCUGGUUUUCCAGGCAAAUCCGGAAAAUCAAGGCUGAGGCGUGAUGACGAGGCACUACGGUGCUGAAGCAACAAAUGCCCUGCUUCCAGGAAAAGCCUCUAAGCAUCAGGUAACAUCAAAUCGUACCCCAAACCGACACAGGUGGUCAGGUAGAGAAUACCAAGGCGCUUGAGAGAACUCGGGUGAAGGAACUAGGCAAAAUGGUGCCGUAACUUCGGGAGAAGGCACGCUGAUAUGUAGGUGAAGUCCCUCGCGGAUGGAGCUGAAAUCAGUCGAAGAUACCAGCUGGCUGCAACUGUUUAUUAAAAACACAGCACUGUGCAAACACGAAAGUGGACGUAUACGGUGUGACGCCUGCCCGGUGCCGGAAGGUUAAUUGAUGGGGUCAGCGCAAGCGAAGCUCUUGAUCGAAGCCCCGGUAAACGGCGGCCGUAACUAUAACGGUCCUAAGGUAGCGAAAUUCCUUGUCGGGUAAGUUCCGACCUGCACGAAUGGCGUAAUGAUGGCCAGGCUGUCUCCACCCGAGACUCAGUGAAAUUGAACUCGCUGUGAAGAUGCAGUGUACCCGCGGCAAGACGGAAAGACCCCGUGAACCUUUACUAUAGCUUGACACUGAACAUUGAGCCUUGAUGUGUAGGAUAGGUGGGAGGCUUAGAAGUGUGGACGCCAGUCUGCAUGGAGCCGACCUUGAAAUACCACCCUUUAAUGUUUGAUGUUCUAACGUUGACCCGUAAUCCGGGUUGCGGACAGUGUCUGGUGGGUAGUUUGACUGGGGCGGUCUCCUCCUAAAGAGUAACGGAGGAGCACGAAGGUUGGCUAAUCCUGGUCGGACAUCAGGAGGUUAGUGCAAUGGCAUAAGCCAGCUUGACUGCGAGCGUGACGGCGCGAGCAGGUGCGAAAGCAGGUCAUAGUGAUCCGGUGGUUCUGAAUGGAAGGGCCAUCGCUCAACGGAUAAAAGGUACUCCGGGGAUAACAGGCUGAUACCGCCCAAGAGUUCAUAUCGACGGCGGUGUUUGGCACCUCGAUGUCGGCUCAUCACAUCCUGGGGCUGAAGUAGGUCCCAAGGGUAUGGCUGUUCGCCAUUUAAAGUGGUACGCGAGCUGGGUUUAGAACGUCGUGAGACAGUUCGGUCCCUAUCUGCCGUGGGCGCUGGAGAACUGAGGGGGGCUGCUCCUAGUACGAGAGGACCGGAGUGGACGCAUCACUGGUGUUCGGGUUGUCAUGCCAAUGGCACUGCCCGGUAGCUAAAUGCGGAAGAGAUAAGUGCUGAAAGCAUCUAAGCACGAAACUUGCC